rnacentral:rRNA from 4 species
UUAAGCGACUAAGCGUACACGGUGGAUGCCCUGGCAGUCAGAGGCGAUGAAGGACGUGCUAAUCUGCGAUAAGCGUCGGUGAGGUGAUAUGAACCGUUAUAACCGGCGAUUUCCGAAUGGGGAAACCCAGUGUGUUUCGACACACUAUCAUUAACUGAAUCCAUAGGUUAAUGAGGCGAACCGGGGGAACUGAAACAUCUAAGUACCCCGAGGAAAAGAAAUCAACCGAGAUUCCCCCAGUAGCGGCGAGCGAACGGGGAGGAGCCCAGAGCCUGAAUCAGUGUGUGUGUUAGUGGAAGCGUCUGGAAAGGCGUGCGAUACAGGGUGACAGCCCCGUACACAAAAAUGCACAUAUUGUGAGCUCGAUGAGUAGGGCGGGACACGUGGUAUCCUGUCUGAAUAUGGGGGGACCAUCCUCCAAGGCUAAAUACUCCUGACUGACCGAUAGUGAACCAGUACCGUGAGGGAAAGGCGAAAAGAACCCCGGCGAGGGGAGUGAAAAAGAACCUGAAACCGUGUACGUACAAGCAGUGGGAGCCUCUUAAUGGGGUGACUGCGUACCUUUUGUAUAAUGGGUCAGCGACUUAUAUUCUGUAGCAAGGUUAACCGAAUAGGGGAGCCGAAGGGAAACCGAGUCUUAACUGGGCGUUAAGUUGCAGGGUAUAGACCCGAAACCCGGUGAUCUAGCCAUGGGCAGGUUGAAGGUUGGGUAACACUAACUGGAGGACCGAACCGACUAAUGUUGAAAAAUUAGCGGAUGACUUGUGGCUGGGGGUGAAAGGCCAAUCAAACCGGGAGAUAGCUGGUUCUCCCCGAAAGCUAUUUAGGUAGCGCCUCGUGAAUUCAUCUCCGGGGGUAGAGCACUGUUUCGGCAAGGGGGUCAUCCCGACUUACCAACCCGAUGCAAACUGCGAAUACCGGAGAAUGUUAUCACGGGAGACACACGGCGGGUGCUAACGUCCGUCGUGAAGAGGGAAACAACCCAGACCGCCAGCUAAGGUCCCAAAGUCAUGGUUAAGUGGGAAACGAUGUGGGAAGGCCCAGACAGCCAGGAUGUUGGCUUAGAAGCAGCCAUCAUUUAAAGAAAGCGUAAUAGCUCACUGGUCGAGUCGGCCUGCGCGGAAGAUGUAACGGGGCUAAACCAUGCACCGAAGCUGCGGCAGCGACACUAUGUGUUGUUGGGUAGGGGAGCGUUCUGUAAGCCUGUGAAGGUGGCCUGUGAGGGUUGCUGGAGGUAUCAGAAGUGCGAAUGCUGACAUAAGUAACGAUAAAGCGGGUGAAAAGCCCGCUCGCCGGAAGACCAAGGGUUCCUGUCCAACGUUAAUCGGGGCAGGGUGAGUCGACCCCUAAGGCGAGGCCGAAAGGCGUAGUCGAUGGGAAACAGGUUAAUAUUCCUGUACUUGGUGUUACUGCGAAGGGGGGACGGAGAAGGCUAUGUUGGCCGGGCGACGGUUGUCCCGGUUUAAGCGUGUAGGCUGGUUUUCCAGGCAAAUCCGGAAAACCAAGGCUGAGGCGUGAUGACGAGGCACUACGGUGCUGAAGUGACAAAUGCCCUGCUUCCAGGAAAAGCCUCUAAGCAUCAGGUAACAUCAAAUCGUACCCAAAACCGACACAGGUGGUCAGGUAGAGAAUACCAAGGCGCUUGAGAGAACUCGGGUGAAGGAACUAGGCAAAAUGGUGCCGUAACUUCGGGAGAAGGCACGCUGAUAUGUAGGUGAAGCGACUUGCUCGUGGAGCUGAAAUCAGUCGAAGAUACCAGCUGGCUGCAACUGUUUAUUAAAAACACAGCACUGUGCAAACACGAAAGUGGACGUAUACGGUGUGACGCCUGCCCGGUGCCGGAAGGUUAAUUGAUGGGGUUAGCGGUAACGCGAAGCUCUUGAUCGAAGCCCCGGUAAACGGCGGCCGUAACUAUAACGGUCCUAAGGUAGCGAAAUUCCUUGUCGGGUAAGUUCCGACCUGCACGAAUGGCGUAAUGAUGGCCAGGCUGUCUCCACCCGAGACUCAGUGAAAUUGAACUCGCUGUGAAGAUGCAGUGUACCCGCGGCAAGACGGAAAGACCCCGUGAACCUUUACUAUAGCUUGACACUGAACAUUGAGCCUUGAUGUGUAGGAUAGGUGGGAGGCUUUGAAGUGUGGACGCCAGUCUGCAUGGAGCCGACCUUGAAAUACCACCCUUUAAUGUUUGAUGUUCUAACGUUGGCCCGUAAUCCGGGUUGCGGACAGUGUCUGGUGGGUAGUUUGACUGGGGCGGUCUCCUCCUAAAGAGUAACGGAGGAGCACGAAGGUUGGCUAAUCCUGGUCGGACAUCAGGAGGUUAGUGCAAUGGCAUAAGCCAGCUUGACUGCGAGCGUGACGGCGCGAGCAGGUGCGAAAGCAGGUCAUAGUGAUCCGGUGGUUCUGAAUGGAAGGGCCAUCGCUCAACGGAUAAAAGGUACUCCGGGGAUAACAGGCUGAUACCGCCCAAGAGUUCAUAUCGACGGCGGUGUUUGGCACCUCGAUGUCGGCUCAUCACAUCCUGGGGCUGAAGUAGGUCCCAAGGGUAUGGCUGUUCGCCAUUUAAAGUGGUACGCGAGCUGGGUUUAGAACGUCGUGAGACAGUUCGGUCCCUAUCUGCCGUGGGCGCUGGAGAACUGAGGGGGGCUGCUCCUAGUACGAGAGGACCGGAGUGGACGCAUCACUGGUGUUCGGGUUGUCAUGCCAAUGGCACUGCCCGGUAGCUAAAUGCGGAAGAGAUAAGUGCUGAAAGCAUCUAAGCACGAAACUUGCCCCGAGAUGAGUUCUCCCUGACUCCUUGAGAGUCCUGAAGGAACGUUGAAGACGACGACGUUGAUAGGCCGGGUGUGUAAGCGCAGCGAUGCGUUGAGCUAACCGGUACUAAUGAACCGUGAGGCUUAACCUU